CAGCAGCCGCGGUAAUACGGAGGGUGCAAGCGUUACUCGGAAUUACUGGGCGUAAAGCGUGCGUAGGUGGUGGUUUAAGUCCGUUGUGAAAGCCCUGGGCUCAACCUGGGAAUUGCAGUGGAUACUGGGUCACUAGAGUGUGGUAGAGGAUAGUGGAAUUUCCGGUGUAGCAGUGAAAUGCGUAGAGAUCGGAAGGAACAUCUGUGGCGAAGGCGACUAUCUGGGCCAACACUGACACUGAGGCACGAAAGCGUGGGGAGCAAACAGGAUUAGAUACCCCGGUAGUCCCUGUCUCUUAUAC
rnacentral:rRNA from 1 species